rnacentral:rRNA from 1 species
AUUGAACGCUGGCGGCAGGCCUAACACAUGCAAGUCGAGCGGCAGCGGAAAGUAGCUUGCUACUUUGCCGGCGAGCGGCGGACGGGUGAGUAAUGUCUGGGAAACUGCCUGAUGGAGGGGGAUAACUACUGGAAACGGUAGCUAAUACCGCAUGACCUCGAAAGAGCAAAGUGGGGGAUCUUCGGACCUCACGCCAUCGGAUGUGCCCAGAUGGGAUUAGCUAGUAGGUGAGGUAAUGGCUCACCUAGGUGACGAUCCCUAGCUGGUCUGAGAAGUUGACCAGCCACACUGGAACUGAGACACGGUCCAUACUCCUACGGGAGGCAGCAGUGGGGAAUAUUGAACAAGGGGCGCAACCCUAAUGGAGCCUUGCCUCUUGUGUGAAGAAGGUUUUAGGUUUGU